rnacentral:rRNA from 1 species
GAUGAACGCUAGCGGCAGGCCUAAUACAUGCAAGUCGGACGGGAUUUGGGAGCUUGCUCCCAAUGAGAGUGGCGCACGGGUGCGUAACACGUAUGUAACCUACCUUAAUCAGGGGGAUAGCCUCUCGAAAGAGAGAUUAACACCGCAUAACAUCAUGAGAUAGCAUUAUUUUAUGAUCAAAUAUUUAUAGGAUUAAGAUGGGCAUGCGGCAGAUUAGCUAGUUGGUGGGGUAAAGGCCUACCAAGGCGACGAUGUGUAGCGGGUAUGAGAGGAUGAUCCGCCACACUGGGACUGAGACACGGCCCAGACUCCUACGGGAGGCAGCAGUGGGGAAUAUUGGACAAUGGGGGGAACCCUGAUCCAGCCAUGCCGCGUGUGUGAAGAAGGCCUUAUGGUUGUAAAGCACUUUAAGCGAGGAGGAGGCUCUUUUGGUUAAUACCCAAGAUGAGUGGACGUUACUCGCAGAAUAAGUACCGGCUAACUCUGUGCCAGCCGCCGCAGUAACAC